rnacentral:rRNA from 1 species
AUCGAACGCUGGCGGCAGGUCUAACACAUGCAAGUCGAACGAGUGGCGGACGGGUGUGUAAUGUCUGGGACACUGCCUGAUGGAGGGGGAUAACUACUGGAAAUGGUAGCUAAUACCGCAUAUCCUCACAUGCGUCCAGAUGGGGUUAGCUUGUUGGUGGGGUACCGGCUCACCAAGGCGACGCUCCCUAGCUGGUCUGAGAGGAUGACCGGCCACACUGGAACUGAGACACGGUCCAGACUCCUACGGUAGGCAGCAGUGUGGAAUAUUGCACAAUGGGCGCAAGCCUGAUGCAGCCAUGCCGCGUGUAUGAGGAAGGCCUUCGGGUUGUAAAGUACUUUCAGCGGGGAGGCGUUACCCGCAGAAGAAGCACCGGCUAACUCCGUGCCAGCCGCCGCGGUAAUUC